rnacentral:rRNA from 1 species
CUCCUACGGGAGGCAGCAGUGGGGAAUAUUGCACAAUGGGCGCAAGCCUGAUGCAGCCAUGCCGCGUGUAUGAAGAAGGCCUUCGGGUUGUAAAGCACUUUCAGUAGGGAGGAAGGUAGUGUAGUUAACACCUGCACUAUUUGACGUUACCUACAGAAGAAGCACCGGCUAACUCCGUGCCAGCAGCCGCGGUAAUACGGAGGGUGCGAGCGUUAAUCGGAAUUACUGGGCGUAAAGCGCAUGCAGGCGGCCUGUUAAGUCAGAUGUGAAAGCCCGGGGCUCAACCUCGGAAUUGCAUUUGAAACUGGCAGACUAGAGUACUGUAGAGGGGGUAGAAUUUCAGGUGUAGCGGUGAAAUGCGUAGAGAUCUGAAGGAAUACCGGUGGCGAAGGCGGCCCCCUGGACAGAUACUGACACUCAGAUGCGAAAGCGUGGGGAGCAAACAGGAUUAGAUACCCUGGUAG